GACGAACGCUGGCGGCGUGCUUAACACAUGCAAGUCGAACGAUGAAGCCGGAGCUUGCUCCGGUGGAUUAGUGGCGAACGGGUGAGUAACACGUGAGCAAUCUGCCCUUGACUCUGGGAUAACUGCGGGAAACUGUAGCUAAUACCGGAUACGACACCUUGGGGCAUCCCAGGGUGUGGAAAGAAUUUCGGUCAAGGAUGAGCUCGCGGCCUAUCAGCUAGUUGGGGAGGUAAUGGCUCACCAAGGCGACGACGGGUAGCCGGCCUGAGAGGGUGACCGGCCACACUGGAACUGAGACACGGUCCAGACUCCUACGGGAGGCAGCAGUGGGGAAUAUUGCACAAUGGGCGAAAGCCUGGUGCAGCAACGCGGCGUGAGGGAUGAAGGCCUUCGGGUUGUAAGCCUCUUUUAGCAGGGAAGAAGCGAAAGUGACGGUACCUGCAGAAAAAGCACCGGCUAACUACGUGCCAGCAGCCGCCGUAA
rnacentral:rRNA from 1 species